rnacentral:rRNA from 1 species
UACGUAGGGGGCAAGCGUUGUCCGGAUUUAUUGGGCGUAAAGAGCGUGUAGGCGGCCAUACAGGUCCGUUGUGAAAACUCGAGGCUCAACCUUUGAACGCCGAUGGAUACUGCCGGGCUAGAGUCCGGAAGAGGCGAGUGGAAUUCCUGGUGUAGCGGUGGAAUGCGCAGAUAUCAGGAGGAACACCAAUAGCGAAGGCAGCUCGCUGGGACGGUACUGACGCUGAGGCGCGAAAGCGUGGGGAGCGAACAGG